rnacentral:lncRNA from 12 species
UAUUUCUGGUUUUGAAUUUUUCCACAGGCAUACAAGAAUGAUAAAAAGGAUCAUGUCAUAUUUGUUGUGCCUGAGGAAGUACAAAGUCCUUCAUAAUGUGUUUGACAUUGUCCUGGACGAUAAGGAACCCAUCAUUUUGUGAAGAAGUAGCCAUGUAAAAGUAUCACUGCAACACUGCAAGUGAGCCAUGAUAGAGGCCGUGUACACCAGAGCAGUGAGAGCGGAGCCACACAUCUCCUUCCCCAGAAACUAUACUCAGCGUCUCAGCAUUAAGCCACCACAGCUUUGAACCGUGUCUGUGAGCAUCUGUGCUUUAUCUAGAUUUAUUUUGUGCAUCUGUUAGCAAGAUGUGUGCUAGGGUAUCAGAAAAGCCUACAAAAGUUUUUGGAGGGGCCUGGGAAUGCUCAAAAAAAUUUUCCAUAUUAAGUAUUGGUAAUUGCUUUA